rnacentral:lncRNA from 1 species
AAACCUUGAAAUUCUUGAGUAACUAAGAAAGCUACAGCUGAAUUUGGCUGGACAAAGUGUGAAAGCAGGAGGCGAUACCCAAGAAAUGACAACACUCCCACUGAGCACUAUAGAGACUGAUCUAAACUGGAGCCUAGCGUUGCCCGGGAGACCCACUGAGAGCAUCAAGGGACUCCCGCACCAAAUCUAGCUUGUGAAUAUCCAGAGAGCCAGGCUGAGGAUGGGGAAUUGGCCAUGAGACGCAGGGAGAGAACUAGAAAGGAGACCUCUGUGGAACUCCGUGAGGCUGAUGGAUGCUCUGAUACCUGCCUGACCCAGUCAGCGAGCAAAGACUUCCCUGUCCUGACUUCUCUUCUCUGCAUUCCUCAUCCUUGGAUGUAG